UGGGAUUAUGGGUUUUAGUACUGCUGGGAUUAUGGGUGUGAGUACUUGCCCUACCCUGGGAAAGGUAAUUUGAAUUACAAUGUAAGGUAGGAAGAGAAGCUUCUGCUUGAGUUCCUCCUACCCCUCCCUUGCACUCUUGGUCUUUGCCGCCUCAAUGAAA